GCUGUGGUGGUUCAAUGGUAGAAUUCUUGCUUUCUAUGCGGAAGACUUGGGUUCGACUCCCAUUCAGUGUA
rnacentral:tRNA from 1 species